UGGAAGCAAUUAGAAAUGAUCAAGGCGCUUGUUUUCUUAAGAGCACAACCAGUUCCAAAUACAACUUACCCGUGAGCAGAGAGAGUAUUCAUUAACCCCUUUGAGCUUAAACAGUUGAAUCUCAUCUUGAAAUAAAGCGAGAUGCCAAAAAUCUUUUUUCUUGAAACCCGGAAAAUUUUGAUAAUUGUUCUUUUUCCGUAAAAAGUCAAGAGCAUUCACUUAGGGUGAGUAAGAAAUAAGUUGGGGAGAACGAAAAAGAGAAUCGGUAAGUGCCAUAACUCUUGAAAAACCGAGCAAGCAUUGAAAAUAAAAAAAAAAAUAAAAAAUUCAGAAAAGAGAAACAUUUGUUUUGUAAAUAUGAUGUGAAAGAAAAGAAAAAAUAGAAAAAAUGAAAAUGAAUGCUUGCUUGGAAGAAAAAUAGUGAAAAACAAAAAUUGAGCUGUGAAAUAAGAGUUGUGAAGGUUUCAAAUGAGAAACAAAUGGAACGAAGUUGAGAUAUGUGAAUAAUGUAC
rnacentral:lncRNA from 1 species